GAGCUACUCCCUCCGUCCAGAAAUACUUGUCAAAGGAAUGAAUGUAUCUAGACAUAUUAUAGUUCUAGAUACAUCAAUUUUUAUCCAUUUCAGCGACAAGUAAUUCCGGACGGAGGGAGUAGAUG
rnacentral:pre_miRNA from 1 species